GCAAGAGAGAAAGGAGAAAAUGCCGAUUGCCUGUUGCGAAUGGAAUUGCACCAACCGGUUUACAAUCCAAGCAAGAUCUCACGGGAUUACCUUUCACAGGAGUCCAUUCCGACAGGUUGUUUCAUCUGGAGAUGAACGUAAGAAGCGAGAUGAGGAAGAGGCUGAAGGAGAGUUUUGCCGUGCCGUUCUUCAGUAGGACCUCAACAGGAUAAUGGUCACUGACCAUGAGUGCCUGAGUGCAACAGAAACACUUCAGAACAAAUCUCGUAACAAGAAGUCGGACGCCUUGUCCAGAAUGUUUUCCCAAGUGGUCGAGGAGUCUCCAGUGGGACCCAUCAUCCCAAGCGCUCAUGAUUGCUGGCGAAGCAUGUGAUGGACGCUGGCAAAGACCUGCCCAUUCCGGAUGGCUGCCUUCCAGGUGGCCUUUUUGUUGCCCCAGAUCUAUGUUCCAACGCUCUGGAGUGUGCUGACAGUUUGAGGGUCGCACGCUAUCCCGGUUUUAACCGUACCUUGUUCCUGCCCACCCAGACAUUUGGUGGCCGUUUGCUCAUUCCGACAUCAAGGAGUUUGUUUGCUCCAAUAUUGCUUGUAACAGGGCCUCCCAUCAGGCGCCUGGGAUACCUCUCCAUCCCUUGCCCGUUCUAUUGCACCAGUGGUCCUUUGUUGCUUUGGACUUUUUUACUGGACUUCUCACUUCUAAGGGACACACAGUCAUUCUUUCAUUUUCCAAGUUCACCAAUUUUGUUCUUUUUGCCAAAAUUACCCGGGAUAGGUUCCAGCAUGCCCCCGUGACCCUAGUGAGGAUAAGCGGUAUAGAAAAUGGAUGGAUGGAUGGGAGACUGCCAGAUUGUCCGUAUACCAUGUUCCGCCUCCACACCAU